AUGGUUGUACGUGCUAAAAAUGCGGUACAUUCCAUUUUGUUUCCCAUCCUAGUCUUUUGCGACACUUCUGGUUUACUUAUUUUGUCAGGUCUCGACUUCUCCGCUAUUAUUGGACUGAUCUUUUUGUGGGAAAUGUUCUUCAUUUCAGAUAAUGAAACCAUUCCAUUACUACCAACCCAUAGAAAUACGACCUCUCUGAGAUACACGGUUUAUGCCGGAAAGGUAUGAAGUUGGACUAAUUUGGAAACAUUGGGCAAUUUACUUUAUACCAACUAUUCCGUCUGGUUUUUGGUUUCUAGUCUGAUUUUAUUAGUUGCUAUGAUUGGGGCUAUAGUACUUACUAUGCAUUGGACUACAAAGGUGAAAAGACAGGAUGUAUUCCGACGAAAUGCCUUGGAUUCUAGGAGCCAUAUAAUGAACAGGACUAUUUCUCCUUUUGGCCACAGCCAUAGAAGAAGCUUCUCCUCCGAAGCGGGGGGACCGCCUGACAAUUACAAAGAAACCUUUAAAAUGUGGAUUUUGUGCUUAGAAUAUAAGGAUUUCCCUGGCUUAAAAUGCAAGAUAGAUAGACUUCUUGCAUUCCUUGAGCCUGGAGAGAUCCUAUUCAUGGUAAACACGUUCCCCCGAGACUUUCCUCUGCUCGAGAUCUUAGAGCCCCAGGAUAUCCGAAAUAUAAUUGCUCACUCGCACAAGCAGUGGAAGCCACCCAAAAAGGGAGGCUAG
rnacentral:rRNA from 1 species